rnacentral:tRNA from 1 species
GGGGCUGUAGCUCAGUGGUAGAGCACUUGUCUAGCACAUGUGAAGCAUGGGUUCAAUUCCCAGCAACACAU